AGAGUUUGAUUCUGGCUCAGAACGAACGCUGGCAGCGUGGAUUAGGCAUGCAAGUCGAACGAGAAGCCGCGUGUUCAAUCCUUCGGGAGAGAACGUGCGGUGGAGAGUGGCGGAAGGGUGAGGAACACGUGGGCAAUCUGCCUCUAAGUUGGGGAUAACCUCUCGAAAGGGGGGCUAAUACCGAAUGUGGUGGUCUUGCGCAUGCGAGAUUGACUAAAGGUGGGGACCUUUCGGGGCCUGCCGCUUGGAGAGGAGCCCGCGUCCCAUCAGCUUGUUGGUAGGGUAACGGCCUACCAAGGCUUACGGGUAGCUGGUCUGAGAGGAUGGUCAGCCACACUGGGACUGAGACACUGCCCAGACUCCUACGGGAGGCUGCAGUCGAGGAUCAUUGGCAAUGCGCGAAAGCGUGACCAUGCGACGCUGCGUGGAGGAUGAAGGCUUUCGAGUCGUAAACUCCUGUCAUCCGGGAAAAAUCCUUUCAUUUCGAAUAGGGAUGGAAGUUGAUGUUACCGGAAGAGGAAGCCACGGCUAACUCUGUGCCAGCAGCCGCGGUAAUACAGAGGUGGCGAGCGUUGUUCGGAUUUACUGGGCGUAAAGCGUGCGUAGGUGGCGCGGCAUGUCGGACGUGAAAGCCCGGGGCCCAACCCCGGAAUGGCGUCUGAAACUGCCGUGCUGGAGUGCAGGAGGGGAGAGCGGAAUUCUUGGUGUAGCGGUGAAAUGCGUUGAUAUCAAGAAGAACACCGGUGGCGAAGGCGGCUCUCUAGAAUGCUACUGACACUGAGGCACGAAAGCUGGGGGAGCGAACAGGAUUAGAUACCCUGGUAGUCCCAGCCGUAAACGGUGUGAACUUGGUGUGGGGGGUAUUGACCCCCUCCGUACCGGAGCUAACGCGUUAAGUUCACCGCCUGGGGAGUACGACCGCAAGGUUAAAACUCAAUGAAAUUGACGGGGGCCCGCACAAGCGGAGGAGCAUGUGGCUUAAUUCGAUGCAACGCGAAGAACCUUACCAGGGCUUGACAUCUAGCUGCACGCCUCCCGAAAGGGAGGAAGCCUUUGAGGGUGCUAGACAGGUGCUGCAUGGCUGUCGUCAGUUCGUGCCGUGAGGUGUUGGGUUAAGUCCCGCAACGAACGCAACCCUUGUGUUUAGUUGCAACCGCAGGUGAUGAGCCUGUGGGCACUCUAGACAGACUGCCCGUGCAAGCGGGAGGAAGGUGGGGAUGACGUCAAGUCAGUAUGGCCCUUACGUCCUGGGCUGCACACGUGCUACAACGGUGGGUACAAUGAGAUGCAAAGUCGCAAGGCAGAGCAAAUCUCCAAAGCCUACCUCAGUUCGGAUUGGAGUCUGCAACUCGACUCCAUGAAGUCGGAUUCGCUAGUAACGGCGCAUCAGCUACGGCGCCGUGAAUACGUUCCCGGGCCUUGUACACACCGCCCGUCACAUCAUGAAAGCCGUCUGCACCCGAAGUCGCUGUCCCAACCUGCAAAGGAGGAAGGUGCCGAAGGUGUGGGUGGUGAUUGGGAUGAAGUCGGAACAAGGUA
rnacentral:rRNA from 1 species